GGUGGGUAGUUUGACUGGGGCGGUCUCCUCCUAAAGAGUAACGGAGGAGCACGAAGGUUGGCUAAUCCUGGUCGGACAUCAGGAGGUUAGUGCAAUGGCAUAAGCCAGCUUGACUGCGAGCGUGACGGCGCGAGCAGGUGCGAAAGCAGGUCAUAGUGAUCCGGUGGUUCUGAAUGGAAGGGCCAUCGCUCAACGGAUAAAAGGUACUCCGGGGAUAACAGGCUGAUACCGCCCAAGAGUUCAUAUCGACGGCGGUGUUUGGCACCUCGAUGUCGGCUCAUCACAUCCUGGGGCUGAAGUAGGUCCCAAGGGUAUGGCUGUUCGCCAUUUAAAGUGGUACGCGAGCUGGGUUUAGAACGUCGUGAGACAGUUCGGUCCCUAUCUGCCGUGGGCGCUGGAGAACUGAGGGGGGCUGCUCCUAGUACGAGAGGACCGGAGUGGACGCAUCACUGGUGUUCGGGUUGUCAUGCCAAUGGCACUGCCCGGUAGCUAAAUGCGGAAGAGAUAAGUGCUGAAAGCAUCUAAGCACGAAACUUGCCCCGAGAUGAGUUCUCCCUGAGACUUUAGGUCUCCUGAAGGAACGUUGAAGACGA
rnacentral:rRNA from 1 species